rnacentral:rRNA from 1 species
UACGUAGGGGGCUAGCGUUGUCCGGAAUCAUUGGGCGUAAAGAGCGUGUAGGCGGCUAUACAGGUCCGUUGUGAAAACUCGAGGCUCAACCUCGAGACGCCGAUGGAAACCGUAUGGCUAGAGUCCGGAAGAGGAGAGCGGAAUUCCUGGUGUAGCGGUGAAAUGCGCAGAUAUCUGGAGGAACACCGGUGGCGAAGGCGGCAUCCUGGACCAAUACUGACGCUGAGGAGCGAAAGCCAGGGGAGCAAACGGG